AUUAGAUACCCUGGGUAGUCCGCACGGUAAACGAUGGAUGCCCGCCGUUGGGUAUUUUUAUUCAGUGGCCAAGCGAAAGCGUUAAGCAUCCCACCUGGGGAGUACGCCGGCAACGGUGAAACUCAAAGGAAUUGACGGGGGCCCGCACAAGCGGAGGAACAUAUGGUUUAAUUCGAUGAUACGCGAGGAACCUUACCCGGGCUUGAAUUGCAGAUGACGGAUCCAGAGAUGGUGACUUCCUUCGGGACAUCUGUGAAGGUGCUGCAUGGUUGUCGUCAGCUCGUGCCGUGAGGUGUCGGCUUAAGUGCCAUAACGAGCGCAACCCCUUUCGUCAGUUGCCAUCGGGUAAUGCCGGGCACUCUGGCGACACUGCCGCCGCAAGGUGUGAGGAAGGUGGGGAUGACGUCAAAUCAGCACGGCCCUUACGUCCGGGGCUACACACGUGUUACAAUGGGGCAUACAGAGAGUUGGUCAUGCGCAAGCAUGAUCGGAUCAUGAAAGUGUCCCUCAGUUCGGACUGGGGUCUGCAACCCGACCCCACGAAGCUGGAUUCGCUAGUAAUCGCGCAUCAGCCAUGGCGCGGUGAAUACGUUCCCGGGCCUUGUACACACCGCCCGUCAAGCCAUGAAAGCCGGGGGCGCCUGAAGUCCGUGACCGCGAGGGUCGGCCUAGGGUGAAACCGGUGAUUGGGGCUAAGUCGUAACAAGGUACC
rnacentral:rRNA from 1 species